GACUCGGACCCACGCGGUCUUAACGCCCAAAUCUUGUCAGGACCGGAAGGUAGCAGCAAUACGGGAUGCUUAGGACAGGCGUGGUAUCCGGGUCUCC
rnacentral:SRP_RNA from 1 species